UACGGAGGGUGCGAGCGUUGUCCGGAAUCACUGGGCGUAAAGGGCGCGUAGGUGGCCUGAUGAGUCAACGGUGAAAGCUCGUCGCUCAACGACGAGUCGGCCGUCGAUACUGUCGGGCUGGAGCACUGUAGAGGCUCAUGGAAUUCCGGGUGUAGCGGUGGAAUGCGUAGAGAUCCGGAAGAACACCGGUGGCGAAGGCGGUGAGCUGGGCAGUUGCUGACACUGAGGCGCGACAGCGUGGGGAGCAAACAGG
rnacentral:rRNA from 1 species